GACGAACGCUGGCGGCGUGCUUAACACAUGCAAGUCGAACGAUGAAGCUGGAGCUUGCUCCGGUGGAUUAGUGGCGAACGGGUGAGUAACACGUGAGCAAUCUGCCCUUGACUCUGGGAUAACUGCGGGAAACUGUAGCUAAUACCGGAUAUGAGGCUCGAAGGCAUCUUCGGGUCUGGAAAGAAUUUCGGUCAAGGAUGAGCUCGCGGCCUAUCAGCUUGUUGGUGAGGUAAUGGCUCACCAAGGCGACGACGGGUAGCCGGCCUGAGAGGGUGACCGGCACACUGGGACUGAGACACGGCCCAGACUCCUACGGGAGGCAGCAGUGGGGAAUAUUGCACAAUGGGCGAAAGCCUGAUGCAGCAACGCCGCGUGAGGGAUGAAGGCCUUCGGGUUGUAAACCUCUUUUAGCAGGGAAGACGCGAAAGUGACGGUACCUGCAGAAAAAGCACCGGCUAACUACGUGCCAGCCGCCGCGGUAA
rnacentral:rRNA from 1 species